rnacentral:rRNA from 1 species
GACGAACGCUGGCGGCGUGCCUAAUACAUGCAAGUAGAACGCUGAAGGAGGAGCUUGCUUCUCCGGAUGAGUUGCGAACGGGUGAGUAACGCGUAGGUAACCUGCCUGGUAGCGGGGGAUAACUAUUGGAAACGAUAGCUAAUACCGCAUAAGAGUAGAUGUUGCAUGACAUUUGCUUAAAAGGUGCAAUUGCAUCACUACCAGAUGGACCUGCGUUGUAUUAGCUAGUUGGUGGGGUAACGGCUCACCAAGGCGACGAUACAUAGCCGACCUGAGAGGGUGAUCGGCCACACUGGGACUGAGACACGGCCCAGACUCCUACGGGAGGCAGCAGUAGGGAAUCUUCGGCAAUGGACGGAAGUCUGACCGAGCAACGCCGCGUGAGUGAAGAAGGUUUUCGGAUCGA